rnacentral:rRNA from 1 species
UAGGGAAUCUUCCACAAUGGACGAAAGUCUGAUGGAGCAACGCCGCGUGAGUGAAGAAGGUUUUCGGAUCGUAAAACUCUGUUGUAAGGGAAGAACAAGUACGGUAGUAACUGGCCGUACCUUGACGGUACCUUAUUAGAAAGCCACGGCUAACUACGUGCCAGCAGCCGCGGUAAUACGUAGGUGGCAAGUGUUGUCCGGAAUUAUUGGGCGUAAAGCGCGCGCAGGCGGUCCUUUAAGUCUGAUGUGAAAGCCCACGGCUCAACCGUGGAAGGUCAUUGGAAACUGGGGGACUUGAGUGCAGAAGAGGUUAGUGGAAUUCCAAGUGUAGCGGUGAAAUGCGUAGAGAUUUGGAGGAACACCAGUGGCGAAGGCGACUAACUGGUCUGUAACUGACGCUGAGGCGCGAAAGCGUGGGGAGCAAACAGG